rnacentral:rRNA from 1 species
CGGCGGACGGGUGAGUAACACGUGGAUAACCUACCUAUAAGACUGGGAUAACUUCGGGAAACCGGAGCUAAUACCGGAUAAUAUUUUGAACCGCAUGGUUCAAAAGUGAAAGACGGUCUUGCUGUCACUUAUAGAUGGAUCCGCGCCGCAUUAGCUAGUUGGUAAGGUAACGGCUUACCAAGGCAACGAUGCGUAGCCGACCUUAGAGGGUGAUCGGCCACACUGGAACUGAGACACGGUCCAG